GAACGCCGAGAGACGCGAAUGGCAGCGGCGGAACCACUUGAAAAUGGCGGCCAAGGGGCCGCUCCGGCAGACGUUCGCGCAGAAUCCGUUGGCUCCUCCCGCUGCUCCCGCGCCGCCCGCUGCCCCGAAGCGACCCUGGAGAGAAACGUUGGGAUGAAAGCGAGAACAAUAAAGAAAAAAAUCGCGUCUCUGGA